rnacentral:rRNA from 1 species
UACGGAGGGUGCGAGCGUUGUCCGGAAUCAUUGGGCGUAAAGGGCGCGUAGGUGGCCCGCUCAGCGUGCGGUGAAAGCUCGGGGCUCAACCCCGAGUCGGCCGUGCGAACUGGUGGGCUGGAGCACUGUAGAGGCAGGCGGAAUUCCGGGUGUAGCGGUGGAAUGCGUAGAGAUCCGGAAGAACACCGGUGGCGAAGGCGGCCUGCUGGGCAGUUGCUGACACUGAGGUGCGAAAGCGUGGGGAGCAAACAGG